rnacentral:rRNA from 1 species
UACAGAGGUGGCAAGCGUUGUUCGGAAUUACUGGGCGUAAAGGGCGCGUAGGCGGUCUUUUAAGUUCCGUGUGAAAUCCCUCGGCUCAACUGGGGAACGGCACGGGAAACUGGAAGGCUUGAGUUCGGGAGAGGGAAGCGGAAUUCCGGGUGUAGCGGUGAAAUGCGUAGAUAUCUGGAGGAAUACCGGUGGCGAAGGCGGCAUCCUGGACCGAGAUUGACACUGAUGAGCGAAAGCUAGGGGAGCAAACGGG